GGUGCCCGCCCGGGAACGAUCGCUGGUCCAGCCCUAGCUCCCCUCCGCUACACCGCAGGCCGCUCUCUGGGUCCUCCUACCCCACGCACAUCCUUGGCCGCGCGCCCAGGUGUCCCCCCACCCCUCGGCCCUCCCCUCCCGGGCCUGGGGCUCUCCGGAGCCUGGUCCGCGUUCCCGCCGCGGGUCCUGCCUCCCUUCCCACCCGGCCCCGCCCAGCCUCCGCCGCGCCGGGGCUCCGGGCCCUGCUUCUGUGUCUCUCCCACCUCCAUCCUCCACCCCCUCCCAAAGAGGAGCUAUUUUUAGCAAAUCCUCAGCGCGCCGCCAGGGGCUCAGCUCGCAGCUCGCAGCCACUCGGCCGCCCUCCCGAGUUCCCCCUCCCGUGCGGCGGCCGCGGAGGCGGCGGCGGCGCGUCCCGCACAUAGCGUAGCGCGCACCCAGCCUGCCCCGCCGCGCCCGCCGUCCUCGCCGCGGUCUUCUCUUCAGGCGCCUACCGCGGCUGGCAAGUCCCUGCUGGCAGAGCAGCGGAGGUCCCCGAAUCAACUUUCAAUUCCCCCUCUGCUUCUGCCUCACCAUUCUCUUCUCCGUGAAAGAUGGCUGUUUGGAGAAGGGGGCGAAGUUAGGGGGUCCUCGGCGCGGGGCGAAGGAGGGCGCGACAGCCUCGGCGGGAGCGGACGGAGGUUUCCCCUUUCCCAGCCUCUCGUGGACCAGCGUUGCCAGCUGAAGGAAGGUUGUGAAUCUGCAUCCCAGCCCAUUAGUCCUUCUCCUGAUUCCCGUGAUGAGUUCACCAGUGCAGCCUGGUCAGUUUGGUUGUUUCUUAAGCUAUUAACAGAUGUAAUAUGAAAGAUGUUGCUUUGUGUUGCUUCAAACCAAGCAAUUUAACUUAUGAAAGGACUUUUUAUUCUGAUGAGGAUGUGUGGAUACAAUGAAUUUUGAAUUUUGUGUUCUAUAGCUAAUCCUUUGUUAUGUAACCAUCUUGCUUUCCAGGCAAUUAAUUUCAUUUGAAUUAUUAUCUGAGCACUGGGCUUUAGUUCUUCUGCUAAUGUAACAUUUGGAUUGAAUUUUAUGAAGUUAUAAAUAUUUAUUAAAUAUGUUGUAGGCAUCUAAUUCAUAUCCAUAGUCUUUCUGAGUCCGUGUCUGUAUGUUUUAAAUUGUGUCAUAGGCUUUGGAUAUCAGCUUGUGGACUCAUUUUCCUCCUCCUUCUCUUUGACACACAGGAAGGAUAUUUCUCCUCCCUGCCCUUCUUUGCUGCCACUCCUGUUUCCUACAUACAUGUUUAAUUAUAAUCUCAGCACCUGCUUCCUCUGAGUCCAGUGUAAUGUGUGGCUCAUGUAGUGUUGUGAUAAGCACAGCCAACACCCAUUUCUCCAGGAACAGGGUGUCACUUUGGGAACAAACACAAUCCAAGUCUUAAAAAUGAUGGAGUAGUUUCAGAUAUCAUAUGUUAAACAUAGAGAAAUUUAAAAAGAAUUUUCUGUUUGAAUCAUUGUAGGAGUAUUUAUUUCUAUAUAUUCUUUAAAAAAAAAUCUCUCAGCACGUUGGUAUCUUUGAGUUAUCCAACUCCUGAGGUUGAAGCUAAUGUAAUAUUUUAUUCAGAGUUUAUAAAGGGAAAUCUUUUGCCAAGAUUUUCAGUCUGUGGAGUGCCACACCCAGAUCAGCUGCUCUGGAAUUCCAAUGUCUCAUCAACCUUUCCCAGAGCUCCAACAGGCUGCCAGCUUGUAUGUUGAAUUUGGAACUGAAAGGUUUUGGCGCGUACAACUGUAAUUGUUGAUUCUAAAUGAUGUAGUAAAGAUAUUCCAGAAUCUUUCUUCACAAUCAUGAUUUAUAAUUGGCGUUGUCAUCUGAAUAAGCACAUGAAGAGUUACACAGGCCUCUUAUCUCUGAGUCCUUGCAGUGCAGUGUUUCUCCAACUUUAGCAUCACUGGGAGGGCUUGUUAAAAUCAAGCCCCAUUCUCAAAGUUUUUGAUUCAGUAGAUCUUAGGUGGGUCCCAGGAAUUGUGAUACUUAUAAGUUUCCCCCCGGUGAGGCUACUGCUGCCUGAGGACUACACUUUGGAAAGCACUGAUCUAGCUUGCUAGUCCCGUUCCUUCCUCCACCUCUGCUUGCCUCCAUCCUCUCCUCCCUCCACACCCCCACCCUUACAGGCAGCCCUCUGUGCAUUACUUAUCACAAUUAUGGUGUAUUAUUACUGUCCUUUCUAUUGAGUUGGACUUAAAAUGAUGUGUGUGUUUUAUAUAUGCAUAUAUUACAUUUAAAUAUACAUUAUAUAUUGAUUUGUAUAUAACUUUAAUGUUUCAAAAUUACAUAAUUUAAAAGAGGCAUUUAAUUUAGAACUACCAUAGUCAAACAUUUUUUUUUCUUGUGGUAGAAUAUGUUAGAGUCAUUAAAAACAUAUUACAAGCAAUUGGAACAAAUUGGCUAAGUAUGAAUGUGGCAGAAAAUUUCCUCCAUUUCUAAAGUUACUGUCUAAAAUUUAUAUAGGGGAUUGUCUUUAAUUGUAAAGGACAGAAACUAGACUUUUAUAAAAUUGUCCCUGUCCCUUUAUUCUCUGCCUUCCUCCCCCAUAUCCUGUCCACAUUGUUUACCUCCCAGUUUUACUUCACAGAAGAGUGGCAGGGCAGAUUGAACCAUGGGAAAAUGGAAUUUUUGACAGUGACAGCAACUGUAUCCAAGUGAAACAUUUGAAAUGGCAUUUCUAUGUAAUCAUUAAAUGGGUAAAAAGUGCAGAUACCCUUGAUGGUUGAAGGUUGAAGGAUGCAACUAUAUGGGGAAAUUUUGAAUCCAAAUUAUAAUUAAACCCAAUUUAUCAUACUUAACUAACUUGUAAAUAGUGCAAGUACAGCAAUUUCAGUGUCUAUAUGGUCUUUUUUUAGCAUCUUUCUAGGAUGUAUGGACUUGGACCCACUUAUUUUUUUCUUUCCUUUUUAAAUUUAAGUAUAAUUAAUGUAUAAUAAUAUUUAUUUUACAGGUUACAGUAUAAUGAGUCACAAUUUUUAAAGCUUAUACUCCAUUUAUAGUUAUUAUAAAACAUUGGCUAUAUUUUCUGUGCUGUAUAAUAUAUCCUUGUAGCUUAUUUUAUACGUAUUGGUUUGUACCUCUUAACCCCUUAACCCCAUAUUGCCCCUUCCCUCUUCCCUCUCCCCACUGGUAGCCAACUAGAUUGCUCUCUAUAUCCCUGAGUCUGUUUCUUUUUUGUUACAUUCACUAGUUUGUUGGGUUUUUUUUUAGAUUCCAUGUAUCUGUCUUUCUUUGCUUUGUUUCACUUAGCAUAAUACCCUUCCAGUCCAUUCAUCUGUUGCAUAUGGUAGAAUUUCACAAUGGACCCACUUAUUUUUAAUGCGAAACAUGUAAUACCAUUAGACACUAUCGUAAGUGGUUAGACUUCCAGUUUAACCCAUUGAACCCUACUUAAAGAUAACUACUUUGCAGUGAAUGAAUACAGAAAAAUUUUGACAGCCUUUGAAAAAGAGAAUCAAUACAAUGUAGUAAGGAAUAUUUAAAAAUUUUGCAUGUUUAGAGAAAAGUGGACCAAUUUGACAGGAAAACAAACAAGUGAGAAAAUUUGAUGGAGAUAGUUCAUGUGAACUAUGGGCACCUUAGAUCAUUUCUCAGAAGGAUCAGCAUUACUUCUAAUUUCAUUCUAAAAGUAAUGAUUUUGGGGAGGCCAGUGUUAGGGUGAUUUCACUAUUCCUUUUCUCAUCUUAUGUAUGGAACAGAGGGAGGGUAGAAGUGAGAUUUUCAUUGCUAACUACUUAAGAGAUAAAGUAUACUGGGAAAGAAAACUAUAGAAAUGGGGUGGGUGUGUGUGUGUGUGUGUGUGUGUGUGUGUGUGUGUGUGUAAAAUACAUGGUCAGAAGUAACAUUUACUGAACUUUGUGAGAUAAAGAAGAAAAGGAAAACAGAAGAGUGCAUGCAUCUAACGCUUAAGGGAGAAGAAGGAAACAUGAUUAAAGAGGAUUUGAGGUUAAAUAGAAAUCUUCUUGUCCAUGCAGUGUAUGUUGUUGGUUAUGUAGAAAGUGGCUGUGAAGUCAUGCUUCAAGGCGCAUGUGAAGACAGAGAUGUAUAUGUAUAGCUGUGUGUGUAUGUAUAGCUCAGCUUCUUAUGCUCAGGAUGAUAACAAUUUAUAGCAUUAUUUUAAAAUACAGAGUUCCUGUAUGUAAAUGGAAUACUUAAGAUGGUCAGAUACAUUGGACUUCUUUUCAAAAACACAAAGUGAAGUAAUACCAAAGACUUUGAUUAAUUCCACAUAUACCUGACACUGGCUCACAACUAGUAAUAUUUGACGGUUGCAAUCAGCAUACACUGACCCUGAGAAUGUUGAUUUUAUAAUUUGAAAAUGUCCUUUGAGGCUGCUAUUUUGAUGAGGAAGUUCUUGCUGGCCAUGAUACUUGUUCAGCUAGAAGAGGGAGUGAGAAAUGAGACAGCCACAAAGUGAAGCUCAUUUGACUUUUGAGUCAUUAAAAUUUCGUUAUGUACUUUCUUUCCUAUGCAUGAUUCUAGUCUGGUCUGUUGAGAACAGCAUUUUACAGAGGGUUUUUUUUUUUUUUUUUUGGUCUUUUUGUCUUUUAGGGCUGCAGUCACAGCAUAUGGAGGUUUCCAGGCUAGGGGCAAUUGGAACUGUAGCCAACAGUCUACUCCAGAGCCAUAGCAACACUGGAUCCAAGCAGCAUCUGCGACCUACACCACAUCUCAUGGCAACGCUGGAGGCCAAGGAUCGAACCCACGUCCUCAUGGAUGCUAGUCAGGUUUGCUAACUGCUGAGCCAUGACAGGAACUCCUACAGCGGUCUUAACCAAUUGUGUUUGGGAAGUUUUUAUGAAUGAAGUCUGAACUGAAGAAAGUCAUAGCAAAUAGAUCAGGUGGGUAGGAAUCCUAUAUUUAUUGUAAGUACAAUCUAUGAUUAGAGACCUGAAAUGCAUUCUGCAUAUAAAAAGGAAAACGUUCUGGCCACAGGCAUUAAAACAUUCUUCUGCUACUAUUAGUGUGUAUCUUAUGAUGCCAUGUAUUUUCUACCGGUAAGAAAUAACCUAAUUGUUUGACUUAAAAAAAGGAUUUUUCUUACAUCUCCUUUUAAAAAAAAACUACGUAAAGGGAAUUAAAUCGACCUUGUGCAAUAAUCAUCCAUUUAUUUUGCUUUUGUUCCACGAGGGGCUCUAAAGAGUUAUUAUGCACCAGAAAAAGUAGACUUAACGUCGAUUGCUCCAGAAAUUCUUUAUAGUCAAUGUUUGAAAUAGAGUGGGUUUUUUGUUUUUUUUUUGAAACUUUUCUCUGGGAUAGUGUGAAGUCUUAUUUUCCCCAUGCAUUGAUCCCAUUCUCAUGAGAAUUUUAUCUCAAUAUUCAGCUAUAGUUGAUAUCAAGUACUAAAUAUUACUGUCUUGAUCAUGUGUUCAAUCAAACAAGAAGUACUGAUCUUUGAAUAUAGAAUUCACUGGUUUUUAUUUUGAUCUUGCUGCCCCAAGAAGGAUCUAAGUUAGAGUACUAGGUAUUGCUUUUGGACCCUGAGGAGCCUGAAUGGAGAGAAGACUAUAUGAAUAAGACUGGCAGCCAGCUGCUGCAAUUGAGAGUCAUUUAUUUAUUAUUUUAUUUUUUAAAUUACUCAACGAAUUUAUUACAUUUAUGGUUGUACAAUGAUCAUCACAAUCCAAUUUUGUAGGAUUUCCAUCCCACACCCCAGAGUCAUUCAUUUAAAUCUUAUUAAGCAUACAUUCUGUGUUAGGCAGUGGGGACACAAAGAGUACUAAAAACGUUUCCACCCUUUAUCAACAGUAUCAUUUAGUGGGGGAGACAGAGUAAAGAGUUUUGGCCCAUUCACUGUGUUAAGUGUUUUAAUAAAUAGGGGAACAGAAGUUAAUUUCUUCUGUACAGCAUAUAGGUGCCAUUUAGUUAAUUUUUAUCAGGAUUGCUAGGUGGCAGAAGAAACGGCUUUUAAGGCUCAUCUAAGCUAGAGUUUUCCUAACAUAUCAGAUAAUAAAAAUUAUGUGAUGUUCUUGUUAAGAAUACAGAUUCUAAGACCUCCCCCAUUCUCUCUGCCCUCCCCCCAAAGACUUAAUGCAGUAGAUCUGGAGGGGAUAUUAAAUAACAUAUUGCAUGUUGCUCUCCACUGUGACUUUUCAAAAGUCUAGAAGUGUUCUUUAAUUUGUCUGAUAAAUACUAGUGUUCCUCAUUGAGACUCUGGAAAAAUAAAAAAGUACAUCAUUAAAUUCUAUCUCAAUAUAGGUAUUUCUCCUGUGAGCUAAGCUGUAACUCAGGUAUCUUGCUUUCUGAUAAACAAAAAGAUAGUGCUGUUGAAAACUAGAGGAGGUAAUACUUUUCAGGAAAAUUGUAGGGCUUUAUGUGUAUUCUCUGCUAAUAAACCAUCAUGAUUUUAUGUGGAUUCGAACCAAAGAGAUUCUUAAUAAAUAGAGUACAUUUUUUUUCCUUAGAACAAAUUUCUAACUAAUUUAACCCAGGUCAUAUUUGUAGUAUGGUCCCAAAAUUAUAGAAAACAUGAUUUGUGCCUGGAUGUUUUUAAGAGUAAAUGAAUUAGGCUGCAUCAACCCUAGAAUGAUUCCAGUAUGACUUUUAAUUUUGAUGAAUCUAAUUUAUGUAAUUUAAUUUUGAUGAAUAGGCAACCAAAGGAAUUUUACAAACAUAGAGCACAGUGGAUGUGAUGCCCCCUGAAAUUACAUAAGGUUCUGGCCUUGUGGACUCUUCACUGAGUUUGAAUGGUAGAGUUACGAUAGCUGUAUGGCCAAGUCCUAUAACAUUAGUUUUCAAAGCCCAAUGCAAAAAAAAAAAAAAAA
rnacentral:lncRNA from 1 species